UGGGGAAUUUUUGGACAAUGGGCGAAAGCCUGAUCCAGCCAUGCCGCGUGCAGGAUGAAGGCCUUCGGGUUGUAAACUGCUUUUGUACGGAACGAAAAGACUCUGGUUAAUACCUGGGGUCCAUGACGGUACCGUAAGAAUAAGACCGGCUAACUACGUGCCAGCAGCCGCGGUAAUACGUAGGGUGCAAGCGUUAAUCGGAAUUACUGGGCGUAAAGCGUGCGCAGGCGGUUAUAUAAAGACAGAUGUGAAAUCCCCGGGCUCAACCUGGGGACUGCAUUUGUGACUGUAUAGCUGGAGUACGGCAGAGGGGGGAUGGAAUUUCCGCGUGUAGCAGUGAAAUGCGUAGAUAUGCGGAGGAACACCGAUGGCGAAGGCAAUCCCCUGGGCCCGUACUGACGCUCAUGCAC
rnacentral:rRNA from 1 species